rnacentral:lncRNA from 1 species
AAGAUUUAGCCCCAAAAGAAAUAGGAAAUAGAACAUAUUUGCCCUCAACUUGGCACACUUUGUCUAAAAAAGAAAAAAAAAGUAUUUGUGAUUGUUUGUAGGGUAUCAAAGUUCCCAAAGGGUAAUUAUCAAAAUUGAAGAAACUUGUGUCAAAGAACGAUCACAAAUUAGUUGGCUUAAAAUAUCAUGAUUGCCAUGUCUUGAUGCAACAACUUCUACCAGUG